rnacentral:rRNA from 1 species
ACUCCUACGGGAGGCAGCAGUGGGGAAUAUUGCACAAUGGGGGAAACCCUGAUGCAGCCAUGCCGCGUGUGUGAAGAAGGCCUUCGGUUGUAAAGCACUUUCAGUAGGGAGGAAGGUAGUGUAGUUAACACCUGCAUUAUUUGACGUUACCUACAGAAGAAGCACCGGCUAACUCCGUGCCAGCAGCCGCGGUAAUACGGAGGGUGCGAGCGUUAAUCGGAAUUACUGGGCGUAAAGCGCAUGCAGGCGGCCUGUUAAGUCAGAUGUGAAAGCCCGGGGGCUUAACCUCGGAAUUGCAUUUGAAACUGGCAGGCUAGAGUCUUGUAGAGGGGGUAGAAUUUCAGGUGUAGCGGUGAAAUGCGUAGAGAUCUGAAGGAAUACCAGUGGCGAAGGCGGCCCCCUGGACAAAGACUGACGCUCAGAUGCGAAAGCGUGGGGAGCAAACA